GUGGGGAAUAUUGGACAAUGGGGGGAACCCUGAUCCAGCCAUGCCGCGUGUGUGAAGAAGGCCUUUUGGUUGUAAAGCACUUUAAGCGAGGAGGAGGCUACUUAGAUUAAUACUCUAGGAUAGUGGACGUUACUCGCAGAAUAAGCACCGGCUAACUCUGUGCCAGCAGCCGCGGUAAUACAGAGGGUGCAAGCGUUAAUCGGAUUUACUGGGCGUAAAGCGCGCGUAGGUGGCCAAUUAAGUCAAAUGUGAAAUCCCCGAGCUUAACUUGGGAAUUGCAUUCGAUACUGGUUGGCUAGAGUAUGGGAGAGGAUGGUAGAAUUCCAGGUGUAGCGGUGAAAUGCGUAGAGAUCUGGAGGAAUACCGAUGGCGAAGGCAGCCAUCUGGCCUAAUACUGACACUGAGGUGCGAAAGCAUGGGGAGCAAACAGGAUUAGAAACCCCAGUAGUCC
rnacentral:rRNA from 1 species